UUCCCCUUAUGUUCCAUUGGUUAGGAUGUGUCAUGUGCUCAUGCCCAGACUGGUCAUCAGAAAGGAGACUAGAGUAACUAUGAUGUGGCCAUAAUCAGCAUUCUUCUUCUAUGGCUGGGGGCAACCCUACUGUCCACUUAGGCCUCUAGGUAUCUAAACAGUUGUGCAAGUUUUGUUAGCAAGGAAGGAAGUCAAUUGUUUUGGGAGAGACAGUAAGUGGCAGUAGAAUAGGAACCAGUAGUCCAUUCUACUGGUUGGUUUACAUCUCAGUACUCAAAGUAGCAAGUGGGAAAAGAGACAAGCUUUCUCAGAAAGCAACUGAAAGAUUUACAGAGGAAAGUUUAAACAAUGGAGAUGGCUAAAGCCAUCCUCAGCUGUGAGGGAAAUGUGAUGUGUUUACACACUGGUAACAGCUACAGUGGUCAGAAGUUGGAGAUUGGAAUAACUUUUUGAAGCUGGUAUUUAUUCUCUCCUAUACGGAAAAAAAAAAUGGACACAUCCUCUUCUAAUUGGGAAAGAUAUAAUUAUGUAGAUUCCAUGUUUGCUGACCUAAAAAUGUUCUAUGUGCUUCUGUUCCAGGUCUUUCAGCCCCUGUUCCAUGAAAGGAGAGCUGGGGAAGUCAAGAUACAGAUACUCUCUUGUCUCCACCCCAUUCCCAAAUGCCCCUAUGAGCAAGAGACGCAGGAUAACCAGACUUGCCUAUCAGGGGGAGCCAUGAUGACAGCUGAUUCCUCCCUGAAGUUUGAAGUCCUUGCUAAUGACCUAACUCUAAUUCUCAGACCCAUCAGCAAGGAUCCUACAUGCUUUCUCAGGCCAGCAAGGAAGCAACUUUGGAGAACACCACAGACUCCAGCUUUUCAUGCUAUAUUUAGAAGAUAAUUUGCUGCACCUUCUCGGAUCGAUUCUGCUGUCUUGGUGACUUUGUGAGAGAUAAUUGACAUUCUUUGUGCUAUGACAACUGUAUGUGAUGGAUUAGUUCUAGUGGUUGACACUGGUUAGCUUCAUAUCAGUCACAGAAUUUCAUGAGCAACCAGAUUCAAAUUCUAUGCAAGACCCAAGAGAUUUCCGGAAUACAGCCAGACUGAACUUUAGUAAAAGAGCAAACACGUUCCGUCUUUAAAGAAACCUUCAGUUUUCCAAAGUCAUGAGAAAGAUGCAAACUCAGUAGACUAUUAGUAAACCGGUAUCUACCGGUCAGCAUAUAUUGGAAUUGUGGAUUUUCAGGGUAUGACUAUAGCUAAACAUUAUGGUUCUUUUAUAUUUAAGCAUUUGAGCCUUAAAAACAAUAUAAUUGAAAUCGCUUUUUAUGAAUUAAUCAAGAGAAAAAUUUAGUGUAUGAAAAAUUAAAAAUUAUUUCAGAAGGCUGUAGUGAGAAAUACUUUAGUUAUCUUUAAAGGAGUAUAUAUGUUCUAGAGACAAUUUCCACUUAUAUUCUUGAAGAUUAAUGAAAUAUUUAUAGAAAUAGUAAUGUCUGUUAAAACAUUGAAUGGCAGGGAGGGAUCCCUGGGUGGCUCAGCCGUUUGGCGCCUGCCUUCAGCCCAGGGCAUGCUCUUGGAGUCCCAGGAUUGAGUCCCACAUCGGGCUCCCUUGCAUGGAGCCUGCCUCUUCCUCUGCCUGUGUCUCUGCCUCUCUCUCUCUCUCUCUCUCUCUCUCUCUAUCUAUCUCUCUCUGUGUCUCAUGAAUAAAUAAAUAAAAUCUUAAAAAAAAAGAAACUGAAUGGCAGAAGACACAUCCAUAAGAGUUAGCAUCUUUUGAGAGACCUUGAAAUUUUAUGUGUUAUAUUUUCUUUUGUGAUCAUUUAUCUAGUUAUUUAUCUCCUCAUAUUUUAUACUCCCAAAGCUUAUUUUGCUUUAGUAUUCAAGUUUAGGUAUAAUUUAAAGACCUAGUCUCUGUAGCCCUAAAAAUAAGUAUUAUUCACUCUUUCAUUUAAGUGUUUUCGUAUCUUGCAGUUCUUCUACACGCAUCUGAUAUUACUGUAUUUAACCUCCCAUUAUUCUGACUGAGAAGUGAUGGGACUGAGUAAUAUCAUCAGUAUGUUGGUGACAGGACAGGAAUGACUUGAAUUUGAACUAACGCCAGCACAAGGCCAAAAUACCCGAUUACAAAGUACAAUUUUUAUAUCACCCCAAAGUAUCCCAAAAAAUAUAGAGAAUAGUUUACUAA
rnacentral:lncRNA from 1 species